rnacentral:rRNA from 1 species
GUGUCAGCCGCCGCGGUAAUACAGAGGUCUCAAGCGUUGUUCGGAUUCAUUGGGCGUAAAGGGUGCGUAGGCGGCGCCGUAAGUCUGGUGUGAAAUCCCGGAGCUCAACUCCGGAAUGGCACUGGAUACUGCGGUGCUCGAGGACUGGAGAGGAGACUGGAAUUCACGGUGUAGCAGUGAAAUGCGUAGAUAUCGUGAGGAAGACCAGUGGCGAAGGCGGGUCUCUGGACAGUUCCUGACGCUGAGGCACGAAUGCCAGGGGAGCAAACGGGAUUAGAAACCCCCGUAGUCC